ACACACACACACACACACACACACACACACACACACACAAACAGAGAUCACAAAAUAAAACAACACAAAAAAUAGAAAAGGAAUAGAUGAUUUAAUAAUAAUUUAAGUUAUUUAUGUUCUAAUUUUAAAUGUUUAUUCAUGUAAAUUCUGCGUGACUGUGACGUGUUUAAAUGGGCGUGCGUGCUGAACAUUCGAGUCUCAUUCAAACACUGGAGCGGAGGGAGUUGCCAUAGAAACGGAGCGCCAACACAACAACUGACAAGCCGGGAAUCACUGACUUUUGCUGCUGUUUUCAAAGCUUUCGGAAAGAGAAAGAAACCUCAGAAACAGGAGAAGCUCCAAGAUUUCACAAUUUCUGAAGGCAGAAGAACUGGGAAAGCUUCUUAAAUUUUUAAGAGGGCUUUGACAUCCAUUCUUCAGUGCUAAUGGCCUGCUGCACCCCAGAGUCCUGUCAGACAACAUCUACAAAGAACACCGAACCAUAUGGCUAAUAACUUAACCUCAAAUAUACACUAUUGUUCAAAAUUCAGUAAGAUAUUUUAUGUUUUAACACAAUUCACACAUAACACAUCUCAUUACCGUGCACUACAGUUAUAUGUGAUGAAAUAAAUCAUCUUUUAUGUGGAAUAAUACGAACAGCAGCUAUGCUAAUCUUUCUCCUUUUGGUUUCCUGUUUCUAUCCCGGGAUGCCCAUCUCAAAGUCACUAGAGAUUACGCCAGUUCCAGUUUGGAUCCAGCCUUCAGAAGACACCAACACUCACGAUGACUUCAGAUGAUGACAACUGGAGGAACUUCUCAACAAAUUCACUUCACAGCGCAUCACUGGAAGGCUUUCCUAUGUAACAAACAUGGUUUUCCACUCUUGUAUUUAUCCAUAUCAGGUUUUCUGGGAUCCCAGUUGAAGACAUCAGCACAUCAGAUGUUGGUCUGGACAGCUGUACCUACAGUACACCACACUGACCUCUCUGCUUUUGCAUGGAUAGCUUACUACUACCAUGUUCUGUGAAGGUAUUAUUAUAGCAAAACUGAGCACCUGUGACAGUGGAAUCUGCAGGUGUAAAGAAUAGUCGCACAUGCAUAUCAGUAAACUGAAGUCACAAAAGUUUUUUUUAGGAGUUGCAAAUGUUUUAUUUACUCUUUCUUUUUCAUAAACACAACACAACAGUAACACCAUUUCAAAUUCUGAGGUGCACAAAUCCUAUUCUACAAAUCACAAAAUAAAGAAACCCAUAUGCUCACAGUUUGGACAGAGCUGCUGUAGUGAAUGUGGGGCAAAACACACUUUUACACCCCAAUCAAAAAUGUGAAAUCAUGAACAAAUGUUGCACAUUUGUAUAUACAGUCGUGGUCCGAAUAACUGGCACCCUUGAUAAAUAUGAAAAAAGACUCAAGGUGAUGCUGGUUACUGCAUGAUGAUUGAAAUCACGCAAAUGGCCUUAAGCCAGGGGUGUCCAAACUCGGUCCUGGAGGGCCGGUGUCCUGCAGAGUUUAGCUCCAAUUUGCCUCAACACACCUGCCUGUACGUUUCGAGUGGAAGUUGCCUAGUAAGACCUUGAUUAGCUAGUUCAGUUGUGUUUAAUUCGAUUUGGAGCUAAACUCUGCAGGACAGUGGCCCUCCAGGACUGAAUUUAGACACCCGAGCCUUAAGCAACUAAAUAAACUGUAAAAAUAUUGUUUUCUAAAACAUCAUGGACAGAAUAUUCCUGAGAGCACUGUACAAACCCGCAGCGCCACCUGCAGGACCGUUAAAAGCAUUCAAAUGCUUCAAAGCGCCAAAUGUGAUUAAGUGCUGAAGCGUGUUACUCGCCCGGUAACUUAUAUGAAUGGUGGGGAGAAUAUGAGAUUGCUUAAUACUAUCAUAAAAUUUGCAACCGAUGUGGUGUAAUUAUAUAAAUAGAGGCUAUAGUCUGACGCGCUACAUGUCUGCUGUAACAGUACUGUUCGAUUUACUGUAAAUGCUGUGUUAGUGUAACUUUAAUUUGCAUUUGGGAAUUCAACAUUCGUCAUUAGAAUCGUCUAUAAAUCUUUUGUUGUUUACAGAGAGAAGUUUCAGUGUCACAUGAUCAUUCAGAAAUCAUUCUAAUAUGCUGAUUUGCUAAUCAAGAAGCAUUAACUAUUUAUUAUUAGCAAUAUUAAAAAGAGUUUUUGCUGUUUAACUUUUUUGUAGAAACAAUGAUAC
ensembl:lncRNA